rnacentral:rRNA from 1 species
AGAGUUUGUUUCCGGGUUCAGGCCGAACGCUGGCGGCGUGGUUAACACAUGCAAGUCGAACGGUAAGGCCCCCAGCUUGCUGGGGUACACGAGUGGCGACCGGGUGAUUAACACGUGGGUGACCUGCCCCGCACUUUCGGGAUAAGCCUGGGAAACUGGGUCUAAUACCGGAUAGGACCGCACCGUGAGGGUGUGGUGGAAAGUUUUUCGGUGUGGGAUGGGCCCGCGGCCUAUCAGCUUGUUGGUGGGGUAAUGGCCUACCAAGGCGGCGACGGGUAGCCGGCCUGAGAGGGUGGACGGCCACAUUGGGACUGAGACACGGCCCAGACUCCUACGGGAGGCAGCAGUGGGGAAUAUUGCACAAUGGGCGGAAGCCUGAUGCAGCGACGCCGCGUGGGGGAUGACGGCCUUCGGGUUGUAAACUCCUUUCACCAUCGACGAAGGUUUUCUGACGGUAGAUGGAGAAGAAGCACCGGCUAACUACGUGCCAGCAGCCGCGGUAAUACGUAGGGUGCGAGCGUUGUCCGGAAUUACUGGGCGUAAAGAGCUCGUAGGUGGUUUGUCGCGUCGUCUGUGAAAUUCCGGGGCUUAACUCCGGGCGUGCAGGCGAUACGGGCAUAACUUGAGUACUGUAGGGGAGACUGGAAUUCCUGGUGUAGCGGUGAAAUGCGCAGAUAUUAGGAAGAAUACCAGUAGCGAAGGCGACUUACUGGCCUCUAACUGACGCUGAUGAACGAAAGCGUGGGUAGCAAACAGGAUUAGAUACCCUGGUAGUCCACGCCGUAAACGAUGAGUGCUAGGUGUCGGG